rnacentral:rRNA from 1 species
GUGUCAGCCGCCGCGGUAAUACGAAAGGGGCUAGCGUUGUUCGGAAUUACUGGGCGUAAAGCGCGCGUAGGCGGCCUUGCAAGUUGGGGGUGAAAUCCCGGGGCUCAACCCCGGAACUGCCUCCAAAACUUCUGGUCUGGAGUUCGAGAGAGGUGAGUGGAAUUCCGAGUGUAGAGGUGAAAUUCGUAGAUAUUCGGAGGAACACCAGUGGCGAAGGCGGCUCACUGGCUCGAUACUGACGCUGAGGUGCGAAAGUGUGGGGAGCAAACAGGAUUAGAUACCCUGGUAGUCCACACCGUAAACGAUGAAUGCCAGUCGUCGGGUAGCAUGCUAUUCGGUGACACACCUAACGGAUUAAGCAUUCCGCCUGGGGAGUACGGCCGCAAGGUUAAAACUCAAAGGAAUUGACGGGG